UACGAAGGGGGCUAGCGUUGCUCGGAAUCACUGGGCGUAAAGCGCACGUAGGCGGAUUGCUAAGUCAGGGGUGAAAUCCUGGAGCUCAACUCCAGAACUGCCUUUGAUACUGGCGAUCUCGAGUCCGGGAGAGGUGAGUGGAACUGCGAGUGUAGAGGUGAAAUUCGUAGAUAUUCGCAAGAACACCAGUGGCGAAGGCGGCUCACUGGCCCGGUACUGACGCUGAGGUGCAAAAGCGUGGGGAGCAAACAGG
rnacentral:rRNA from 1 species